rnacentral:rRNA from 1 species
UUUUAGAAAUUAAUUUAAAGUCUGACCUGCCCACUGAAAAAUUAAAUGGCCGCAGUAUUUUAACUGUGCAAAGGUAGCAUAAUCAUUAGUCUUUUAAUUGAAGGCUGGAAUGAAUGGUUGAAUGAAAUAUUAACUGUUUCAUAUAAAAUUAUAUUAGAAUUUUAUUUUUUAGUCAAAAAGCUAAAAUUUAAUUAAAAGACGAGAAGACCCUAUAAAUCUUUAUACUUAAAUAAUUUUAGUUAUAGAGAUAAUUUAAAUUAUUAUUAUUUUAAGUAUUUUAUUGGGGUGAUAUUAAAAUUUAAUAAACUUUUAAUUUAUAAUUAACAUAAAUUAUUGAAUUAUUGAUCCAUAAAUUAUGAUUAAAAAUUUAAGUUACUUUAGGGAUAACAGCGUAAUUUUUUUAGAGAGUUCAUAUUGAUAAAAA